rnacentral:rRNA from 1 species
CCUACGGGUGGCAGCAGUGGGGAAUAUUGGGCAAUGGGCGCAAGCCUGACCCAGCAACGCCGCGUGAAGGAAGAAGGCUUUCGGGUUGUAAACUUCUUUUAUGAGGGAAGAGCAGAAGACGGUACCUCUUGAAUAAGCCACGGCUAACUAUGUGCCAGCAGCCGCGGUAAUACGUAGGUGGCAAGCGUUGUCCGGAUUCACGGGGUGUAAAGGGCGUGUAGCCGGGCUGACAAGUCAGAUGUGAAAUUCCGGGGCUCAUGCGCGGACCUGCAUUUGAAACUGUUGGUCUUGAGUGUCGGAGAGGCAGGCGGAAUGCCUAGUGUAGCGGUGAAAUGCGUAGAUAUUAGGAGGAACACCGGUGGCGAAGGCGGCCUGCUGAACGACAACUGACGGUGAGGCGCGAAAGCGUGGGGAGCAAACAGGAUUAGAUACCCCGGUAGUC